GGGCUACACACGUGCUACAAUGGGCGGUACAAAGGGCUGCGAACCCGCGAGGGGGAGCGAAUCCCAAAAAGCCGCUCUCAGUUCGGACUGCAGGCUGCAACUCGCCUGCAUGAAGCCGGAAUCGCUAGUAAUCGCGGAUCAGCAUGCCGCGGUGAAUACGUUCCCGGGCCUU
rnacentral:rRNA from 1 species